ACUCCUACGGGAGGCAGCAGUGGGGAAUAUUGGACAAUGGGCGCAAGCCUGAUCCAGCAAUACCGCGUGUGUGAAGAAGGCCUUCGGGUUGUAAAGCACUUUUAUAUGGGGAAGAAGUGUGGUGUGUUAAUAGCACAUUGCAUUGACGGUACCAUAGGAAUAAGCACCGGCUAACUCCGUGCCAGAAGCCGCGGUAAUACGGAGGGUGCGAGCGUUAAUCGGAAUUACUGGGCGUAAAGGGUACGUAGGCGGCUUGAUAAGUCAGAUGUGAAAUCCCGGGCUUAACCUGGGAACUGCAUUUGAAACUG
rnacentral:rRNA from 1 species